AUUCUACUCCCUCCGUUGCACAAUAGAUGCCUUCUAUUUGUCAAAAUAUAUAUGUAUCUAGACAUGUUUUAGUAUAUAGGUACAUCCAUUUUUGGACAAAUGGAAGUCAAGUAUUUUGGAACGGAGGGAGUACACA
rnacentral:pre_miRNA from 1 species